UACGGAGGGUGCAAGCGUUAUCCGGAUUCACUGGGUUUAAAGGGUGCGUAGGUGGGUCUGUAAGUCCGUGGUGAAAUCUCCGAGCUUAACUUGGAAACUGCCAUGGAUACUAUAGGUCUUGAAUACUGUGGAGGUCAGCGGAAUAUGUCAUGUAGCGGUGAAAUGCUUAGAUAUGACAUAGAACACCAAUUGUGAAGGCAGCUGGCUACACAAAUAUUGACACUGAUGCACGAAAGCGUGGGGAUCAAACAGG
rnacentral:rRNA from 1 species